rnacentral:tRNA from 37 species
GGGGCUGUAGCUCAGAUGGGAGAGCGCCGCAAUCGCACUGCGGAGGUCAGGGGUUCGAUUCCCCUCAGCUCCACCA